GUCCACGCCGUAAACGAUGUCGACUAGCCGUUGGGCCCUUCUGGGGCUUAGUGGCGCAGCUAACGCAUUAAGUCGACCGCCUGGGGAGUACGGCCGCAAGGUUAAACUCAAAUGAAUUGACGGGGCCCGCACAAGCGGUGGAGCAUGUGGUUUAAUUCGAUGCAACGCGAAGAACCUUACCUACCCUUGACAUCCUAAGAACUUGGCAGAGAUGCCUUGGUGCCUUCGGGAACUUAGAGACAGGUGCUGCAUGGCUGUCGU
rnacentral:rRNA from 1 species